AUUGAACGCUGGCGGCAUGCUUUACACAUGCAAGUCGGACGGCAGCACAGAGAAGCUUGCUUCUUGGGUGGCGAGUGGCGAACGGGUGAGUAAUGUAUUGGAACGUACCGAGUAAUGGGGGAUAACCAAUCGAAAGAUUGGCUAAUACCGCAUACGUCCUGAGGGGGAAAGCGGGGGAUCUUCGGACCUCGCGUUAUUCGAGCGGCCAAUAUCUGAUUAGCUGGUUGGUGGGGUAAAGGCCUACCAAGGCGACGAUCAGUAGCGGGUCUGAGAGGAUGAUCCGCCACACUGGGACUGAGACACGGCCCAGACUCCUACGGGAGGCAGCAGUGGGGAAUUUUGGACAAUGGGCGCAAGCCUGAUCCAGCCAUGCCGCGUGUCUGAAGAAGGCCUUCGGGUUGUAAAGGACUUUUGUCAGGGAAGAAAAGGCUUUUGAUAAUACCAGGAGCGGAUGACGGACCUGAAGAAUAAGCACCGC
rnacentral:rRNA from 1 species